UGGGGAAUUUUGGACAAUGGGGGAAACCCUGAUCCAGCCAUCCCGCGUGUGCGAUGAAGGCCUUCGGGUUGUAAAGCACUUUUGGCAGGAAAGAAACGUCAUGGGUUAAUACCCCGUGAAACUGACGGUACCUGCAGAAUAAGCACCGGCUAACUAAGUGCCAGCAGCCUCGGUAAUACGUAGGGUGCAAGCGUUAAUCGGAAUUACUGGGCGUAAAGCGUGCGCAGGCGGUUCGGAAAGAAAGAUGUGAAAUCCCAGAGCUCAACUUUGGAACUGCAUUUUUAACUACCGGGCUAGAGUGUGUCAGAGGGAGGUGGAAUUCCGCGUGUAGCAGUGAAAUGCGUAGAUAUGCGGAGGAACACCGAUGGCGAAGGCAGCCUCCUGGGAUAACACUGACGCUCAUGCACGAAAGCGUGGGGAGCAAACAGG
rnacentral:rRNA from 1 species